AAAAAAUUGAAAUCUUUCUUUUAUUAUAAAUAUUUUGAGAAUUAUCAGCAACAGCAGCACCGUGUGACUGUUAGCUGUGUAAUAGUCAAUAGACUAAGUGCCUCAGUAAGGUAAGGCUAACUGAGUCCUGCUUUAUAUCUCAGCAUAUAGAAGUCUCUUUUGUACAGGAUUGUGUUUCUGUAUCAGUAAGUGUAAAAUUUAAGGUGACUGUAUAACAGUUAGUGUCACUGUUUGUGAUUGAGUUGGGGGGGAGGGGCUGGGAAGUAGGUGGUCGUAUGAAUAUAUAUGUUCCCAUGCAUAUAAAUUUAAAGGACAUAUUAUUAUUAUUAUUAUUAUUAUUAUUACUAUUAUUAUUAUAGGUAUCUGUAUGGGUCUAUGGUGUAUUUUACAGAUGUAUUUUAAAAGGCAGUGUAAAUGUGUGCAUGUAGAUGUAUGCAUGUGUGAAUGCGCGUGUGUGUGUGUGUGUGUGUAAUAAUAAGUGAGUGUUUAAUAACUAUGAAUAUGUAUAAGCGUGUGAGAGUGUGUGGAGGUAAAGGUAUGGGGGGAGAAGGCCAACUGAGAUCAGGCUCUAAUUUCUUAAUUCUUUACCUUUGUCCAACCCGUGUGGUAAAUUUUUCACCUCUGAUUAAAGAAAAAAAUAAAUAAAACUGAUUUAAUUUUUGAUGCAGGUUGUAAUAAUGACUUCAUCUCAUUUGAUGCAGGUUGUAAUAAUGACCUCACCUCGUUUUUAUCUCCAACAAAAAUAGCGUUGCACUUUGCUUAAAGUAAACUGGUCGUUCACUCAAUUCGAAACCAAUUUUUACAAGCAACAACAGGGAGAAAUCUGUAACAAUCUUUGUAUAUAAUGAAAGUUAGUGAGUUAGAAAGAGAGGGGGAGGGAAAGAGAAAGAGAGAGAGAGAGAGAGAGAUAAUAGCCAAACUAUUUUCCAUCACAAAACACCAACAAAUACACAAUAUGAUAUUAUAUAUAUAUAUAUAUAUAUAGUUAUAUAUA
rnacentral:lncRNA from 1 species